UGGCACUGGAAACUACUCCUACUUCUUGGAAGCUAAACCAUUUUUCACAAAAGACCAUAGAUUCUGCCUUAAUUCCGAACCAGAAUAUUCAGAUGGCAGUAUCUUCAGUUUGCAGUCGUUUUCCCCAGAGCUCUGACAUCCAAGAACCGUUGUCAAUACGCCCAUUUAACUAACUGAGGAAUUAUGGUGGAGCGAUCCUUCGGACUCGGGCAUCCGGACACUUAUUUCUGCGCGUACUGUUAACCUUCAGAGGGCAGACGUUUGGUAUAGAGGGGGGGGAAAAGGUGAACAUGAAGUUUUGAAGCAUGGCGUGUCCCUGUUGUGAAGCCGAAAGAAGCAAAGUAAGAGAAGCAGAAUCAAGUAUGAGCCCCGCACAUUGACUUGGGUUGGCAAAAUUCAGUGGAAAAGCUGGAAGAAAAGAAAUUGGAUACAAAAAGAAAGGAAAUCUAAUAAGUUGCCGCUAUAGAUCAGGCACUCAGUGAGACUUCACUGUAGUUCCAAAACAUUUACAGAAAAAUCGCCCUGCACUCAGUAACAAGGGCGCUGUGCUGGGAGACAAGAAUUCCA